rnacentral:rRNA from 1 species
UAUAAGGUCUAACCUGCCCAAUGAGGAUUUAAAUGGCCGCAGUAUUUUGACUGUGCAAAGGUAGCAUAAUUAUUAGUUUUUUAAUUGAAAACUUGUAUGAAGGGUUGGACGAAAUAAAAACUGUCUUUAUUUAAAUAAAGUUAGAAUUUAACUUUUAAGUUAAAAGGCUUAAAUAUUAAUAAUAGACGAGAAGACCCUAUAGAUCUUUAUUUAAUUAAUAUUUUAAUAAUUUAGGAUUAUUUUAAUUUAAAAUUUUAAUUAAAUUUUAUUGGGGUAAUAUAAAGAUUUGAUUAAUUCUUUUUAUUAAUUACAUUAAUUUAUGAAUAAAUGAUCCAAUAUUAUUGAUUAUAAGAUUAAGUUACCUUAGGGAUAACAGCGUAAUUUUUUUGGAGAGCUCAUAUCGAUAAAAAAGUUUGCGACCUCGAUGUUGGAUUAAAAAUUAGCUUGGGUGCAGAAGCUCAAGAUUUUGGUCUGUUCGACCAUUAAAUUUUUACAUGAUCUGAGUUCAGACCGGCGUAAGCCAGGUCGGUUUCUAUCUUUAUCUAAUUAAAAUAUUUUAGUACGAAAGGACCAGAUAUUUAAUAUAAUAAUAUUUAUUUUUUGAACAAUAUU